AUGUUCUACUACGGCCUAGAUUUCCAUGAUCUGGCCCCAAAUUUUAUUCUCAACAUCUCGACAUUUAUCGUCGUGUGCGAGGCCUUCCUCUGCAUCCAGCCUCACUUCGGCUUGUGGCUCAAGACCUUCAGUGUCAAGCCGAAGGUUGUGAAGGGCAGCCAAGCGGAGUGCAGAGGCGCCAUGGUGGGCAGGAUGUCCCAUGUUACGUGGCUGGAGGGCACCUUUGUGGAAACCAUCAAGGGGUGGCAACGGGGUGGCUCUACAUCACCGAGCCGCGUGAUCCCGAAUGGGCAGCGGCCCCCGAAUUCAGAUCCGGGAUCCCCACACGGCUCACCUCCUGGAAAGAGAGCGGCCGGAUUUGGGGCGAUUCGUAGGAGCUGA
rnacentral:rRNA from 1 species